GUGCUCACUUUGGCAGUACAUAUACUAAAGUAGCAGGUACUUUACAGAGAUUAGCAUGGCUCCUGAACAAGGAAGACACACGAAUUCAUGAAGUGUUUCACAUUCUC